CUGAUGGCGGCCGUGCAGAUGGUGGAGUCCGGAGGGGGCCUCCAGACACCCGGGGGGUCCCUCACCCUCCGCUGCAAGGCCUCCGGCUUCGACUUCAGCAGCUUCAGCAUGGAAUGGGUGCGACAGGCCCCCGGGAAGGGGCUGGAGUUCGUUGCACGUAUUGCCAGCGAUGGUAGUAGCACAAGCUACGCGCCGUCGGUCAAGGGGCGCUUCACCAUCUCCAGGGACAACUCCCAGAGCACGCUCACGCUGCAGAUGAACAGCCUCCGGGACGACGACACGGCCACCUACUACUGCGCCAAAGAUGGUCGUGGUGAUGGUUAUGCUGAUGGUAGUGGGGGCACCAACCCCGGCACCGUGCUCGCAAUGGCCCUGCACUGUGUCCCCUCUUCCCAGCAUCUCCCCAAAACCCCAACACCCUUCCUAGACCCUUCCACCACUCUCGGACCCCGGCUCCCAAACCCAAGACUCCACCAUCGUCCCCAAGAACACAAUUCUUGAC